rnacentral:rRNA from 1 species
UACGUAGGGCGCGAGCGUUGUCCGGAAUUAUUGGGCGUAAAGAGCUCGUAGGCGGCUUGUCACGUCGGGUGUGAAAGACCGGGGCUUAACUCCGGUUCUGCAUUCGAUACGGGCUAGCUAGAGUGUGGUAGGGGAGAUCGGAAUUCCUGGUGUAGCGGUGAAAUGCGCAGAUAUCAGGAGGAACACCGGUGGCGAAGGCGGAUCUCUGGGCAUUAACUGACGCUGAGGAGCGAAAGCAUGGGGAGCGAACAGG